UAUUUUAUACCGUUUAAUUAUUUUAAUUCUUUAAUUUAUUAAAUUCGCGUCGUAAAUUUUUAUUUUUUUUAUUUUUAGGUAUACGGUUAUUUUCUAUUUAAAUUAAAUCGAAUGGGUAUUUGGAAGGUACGGGUAUUUUGCGUGCAAUUAUAAUUAUUUUGUUAUUUUAUAUUUUGGAAUUUUAUACGAUUUUAAUUAUUAAUGCAAAUUUUGGUUACCGUAAUUUUUAUUUAUACCAGGUUUAUAUUUUAAUUAAUAUAUAUAUUUUAUAUAUGUUUUGAAUAUAUUUAUAUUAUAAAAAUUGUUUUAAAUUAUAAUAUAUUAUAAAAUAACUGUCGCUGGGCGUAAAAAUUAUAAUUAAUUCGGUAUUAAAUUUUAUUUUAAUUUCCCAAUUUGGUAAAUCGGUUAUAAUAUAUAUUUUGUAAGUACCCGGUAUUUUAUAUUGUCGUGGAAAAAGAUUGUAAAUUAUUUUCCUAUUUAAAUAAAAUUUAUAAUUAUCUCGGAAAUAUUUUGUUUAAAAUAUUCUGGUAUAUUAAAAAUAUUUGGUAUCCAAAAUUGGGUGGUUUUUAAAAAUUGCGUUAAUUAAUUUUAUAAAAUUUCGGAUUUAUAUUUAAAAUGAUAUUUCGGAAAAUUAUACGAAUUGGUCGUUUUGGUAUAAAUUAUUAUAUUUUUUUCGUAUAUAUAAAACUUUUUUUUAUUAUAUUAUAUUGGUUUAAAAAUAUAAUUUUUUUCGUUACACUUUUUUUUUAAUUUUCGUUUAAUUUUUAUAUUGGAAAUUAAUUAAUGGUUUUAAUACGGUGGAUUUAUUUUAAAAAAGUUUUAUCCGAUUUUUUCACAACGUCCGAACUUGUAAGUUCGGGUAAUUAGGUUUUCCGUUAAUAUAAAUUUGUUAAUUAUUUUAUUUUUAUAAAUAUUUGAUUUUUUAUUAUUAAAAUUUAAAUAUUUCGAAAUUUUUAUAAAUAUUAUUUUGCGUCGUUUUUGGAAUUAUUAUAUAUUAUAUAAUUAUUAUUAUAAUAAAUGGUCCAAUUUAUUAUAUUAUAUUAAUU
rnacentral:sRNA from 1 species